rnacentral:rRNA from 1 species
GGUUAAGCGACUAAGCGUACACGGUGGAUGCCUAGGCAGUCAGAGGCGAUGAAGGGCGUGCUAAUCUGCGAAAAGCGUCGGUAAGGUGAUAUGAACCGUUAUACCCGACGAUACCCGAAUGGGGAAACCCAAUGUGAUACGUCACAUUAUCGCAUGGUGAAUACAUAGCCAUGCGAGGCGAACCGGGGGAACUGAAACAUCUAAGUACCCCGAGGAAAAGAAAUCAACCGAGAUUCCCCCAGUAGCGGCGAGCGAACGGGGAACAGCCCAGAACCUGAAUCAGUUUAUGUGUUAGUGGAAGCGUCUGGAAGGUCGCACAGUAUAGGGUGAUAGUCCCGUACACAAAAAUGCAUAGAUUGUGAGUUCGAUGAGUAGGGCGGGACACGUGACAUCCUGUCUGAAUAUGGGGGGACCAUCCUCCAAGGCUAAAUACUCCUGACUGACCGAUAGUGAACCAGUACCGUGAGGGAAAGGCGAAAAGAACCCCGGCGAGGGGAGUGAAAUAGAACCUGAAACCGUGUACGUACAAGCAGUGGGAGCCUACUUUGUUGGGUGACUGCGUACCUUUUGUAUAAUGGGUCAGCGACUUAUAUUUUGUAGCAAGGUUAACCGUAUAGGGGAGCCGUAGGGAAACCGAGUCUUAACUGGGCGUCAAGUUGCAAGGUAUAGACCCGAAACCCGGUGAUCUAGCCAUGGGCAGGUUGAAGGUUGGGUAACACUAACUGGAGGACCGAACCGACUAAUGUUGAAAAAUUAGCGGAUGACUUGUGGCUGGGGGUGAAAGGCCAAUCAAACCGGGAGAUAGCUGGUUCUCCCCGAAAGCUAUUUAGGUAGCGCCUCGUGAACUCAUCUUCGGGGGUAGAGCACUGUUUCGACUAGGGGUCCAUCCCGGAUUACCAACUCGAUGCAAACUACGAAUACCGAAGAAUGUUAUCACGGGAGACACACGGCGGGUGCUAACGUCCGUCGUGAAGAGGGAAACAACCCAGACCGCCAGCUAAGGUCCCAAAGUCAUGGUUAAGUGGGAAACGAUGUGGGAAGGCAUAGACAGCCAGGAUGUUGGCUUAGAAGCAGCCAUCAUUUAAAGAAAGCGUAAUAGCUCACUGGUCGAGUCGGCCUGCGCGGAAGAUGUAACGGGGCUAAACCAUGCACCGAAGCUGCGGCAGCGACGCUUAGGCGUUGUUGGGUAGGGGAGCGUUCUGUAAGCCGUUGAAGGUGGUCUGUGAGGGCUGCUGGAGGUAUCAGAAGUGCGAAUGCUGACAUAAGUAACGAUAAUGCGGGUGAAAAACCCGCACGCCGGAAGACCAAGGGUUCCUGUCCAACGUUAAUCGGGGCAGGGUGAGUCGACCCCUAAGGCGAGGCCGAAAGGCGUAGUCGAUGGGAAACAGGUUAAUAUUCCUGUACUUGGUGUUACUGCGAAGGGGGGACGGAGAGGGCUAGGCUAGCCGGGCGACGGUUGUCCCGGUUUAAGCGUGUAGGGGGUGUGACUUGGUAAAUCCGGUUGCAUAUUAACCCUGAGGCGUGAUGACGAGCCACUACGGUGGUGAAGUAGUUGAUGCCGCACUUCCAGGAAAAGCCUCUAAGCAUCAGGUAACAUUAAAUCGUACCCCAAACCGACACAGGUGGUCAGGUAGAGAAUACUCAGGCGCUUGAGAGAACUCGGGUGAAGGAACUAGGCAAAAUGGUGCCGUAACUUCGGGAGAAGGCACGCUGUCGCUAGGUGGAGGAACUUGCUUCCCGAGCUGNNNNNNNNNNNNNNNNNNNNNNNNNNNNNNNNNNNNNNNNNNNNNNNNNNNNNNNNNNNNNNNNNNNNNNNNNNNNNNNNNNNNNNNNNNNNNNNNNUGAAGACAGUCGAAGAUACCAGCUGGCUGCAACUGUUUAAUAAAAACACAGCACUGUGCAAACACGAAAGUGGACGUAUACGGUGUGACGCCUGCCCGGUGCCGGAAGGUUAAUUGAUGGGGUUAUCCGCAAGGAGAAGCUCUUGAUCGAAGCCCCGGUAAACGGCGGCCGUAACUAUAACGGUCCUAAGGUAGCGAAAUUCCUUGUCGGGUAAGUUCCGACCUGCACGAAUGGCGUAAUGAUGGCCAGGCUGUCUCCACCCGAGACUCAGUGAAAUUGAACUCGCUGUGAAGAUGCAGUGUACCCGCGGCAAGACGGAAAGACCCCGUGAACCUUUACUAUAGCUUGACACUGAACAUUGAGCCUUGAUGUGUAGGAUAGGUGGGAGGCUUUGAAGCGUGGACGCCAGUCUGCGUGGAGCCAACCUUGAAAUACCACCCUUUAAUGUUUGAUGUUCUAACUCGGCCCCAUAAUCUGGGGUGAGGACAGUGUCUGGUGGGUAGUUUGACUGGGGCGGUCUCCUCCUAAAGAGUAACGGAGGAGCACGAAGGUUAGCUAAUCACGGUCGGACAUCGUGAGGUUAGUGCAAUGGCAUAAGCUAGCUUGACUGCGAGAGUGACGGCUCGAGCAGGUACGAAAGUAGGUCAUAGUGAUCCGGUGGUUCUGAAUGGAAGGGCCAUCGCUCAACGGAUAAAAGGUACUCCGGGGAUAACAGGCUGAUACCGCCCAAGAGUUCAUAUCGACGGCGGUGUUUGGCACCUCGAUGUCGGCUCAUCACAUCCUGGGGCUGAAGUAGGUCCCAAGGGUACGGCUGUUCGCCGUUUAAAGUGGUACGCGAGCUGGGUUUAGAACGUCGUGAGACAGUUCGGUCCCUAUCUGCCGUGGGCGUUGGAAGAUUGAGAGGGGCUGCUCCUAGUACGAGAGGACCGGAGUGGACGCAUCACUGGUGUUCGGGUUGUCAUGCCAAUGGCAUUGCCCGGUAGCUAAAUGCGGAAAAGAUAAGCGCUGAAAGCAUCUAAGCGCGAAACUUGCCUCGAGAUGAGUCUUCCCUGGGGCUUUAAGCCCCCUGAAGGGACGUUUAAGACUAAGACGUUGAUAGGCUGGGUGUGUAAGUGCAGCGAUGCAUUGAGCUAACCAGUACUAAUGACCCGUGAGGCUUAACCUU